rnacentral:rRNA from 1 species
AUUGAACGCUGGCGACAUGCCUUACACAUGCAAGUCGAACGGUAACGCGGGGGAACCUGGCGACGAGUGGCGAACGGGUGAGUAAUGCAUCGGAACGUGCCCAGAAGUGGGGGAUAGCCCGGCGAAAGCCGGAUUAAUACCGCAUGAGACCUGAGGGUGAAAGCGGGGGAUCGCAAGACCUCGCGCUUUUGGAGCGGCCGAUGUCAGAUUAGGUAGUUGGUGGGGUAAAGGCCUACCAAGGCGACGAUCUGUAGCUGGUCUGAGAGGACGACCAGCCACACUGGAACUGAGACACAGCCCAGACUCCUACGGGAUGCAUCAGUGUAGCAUUUUGCACAAUGGUCACAAGCCUAAUCCACCCAUGCCUCGUGCGGGAAGAAGGCCUUCUGGUUGUAAACCGCUUUUGUCAGGGAAUAAACGCUCUGGGCUAAUACCCUGCGGUAAUAACGGUACCUGAAAAAUAAGCACCGGCUAACUACGUG